AAAGGGAGACCUAAUUCAGGUAGGAGACGAAAAAAAAGUAGUCCCAACCAAGAAUCAAUCCCAAAAGGUCGGAGCGAGGCAAAAUUGGCUUUCAAACUAGGUUCUGGGUUCACACAAGACCUGAAUCAGGAACAAGGGCUAUUAGCUCAGGUGGUUAGAGCGCACCCCUGAUAAGGGUGAGGUCCCUGGUUCGAGUCCAGGAUGGCCCACCUGCACAGGUGGCCAAAACAAAGAAAAAAAGCUCCGAAUCAGCACCUUAUCUUACUUAUAUAGUAAGAGAGAAUGCUGGCUCUGAGUACAGAGUCCAGAGGAACCUUGAAAACUGCAUAGAGCUAGGUGAAAAAGCCAAAAAAGAAGACCGCAAG
rnacentral:tRNA from 1 species